rnacentral:antisense_RNA from 1 species
CUUGACCGAGCCGAGCCACAGCGGUUCGCCGUCCCGGUCACGGCCGUAGGUGGCCAGCAGGGCCUGGGCCUC